AAGGUGGACGAAGAAGAUGUGGUUUCACACAUCCUUGCCAGGCUGGAGGAAGAAUUCGAUCCCGUGGUUUCGGCCAUGUGCUCACGGGUCGAACCUGUAACCGUCCCGGAGCUGUACUCGCAGCUUCUGAGCUUCGAGA
rnacentral:snoRNA from 1 species